AUGAGAUUUUACAAAAUAAGACCAUACCACACUUUCCUAUUUCCCUGAUGCCUAGAACAGUUCCUUAACAUAGGAGGUAGGUUACAAAGGUUUAUUGAAUGAAAGGAUAUGACUUGUAAAUGUAUAUUUUGUGUCUACUAUUUAAGAUCCACAAAGAAAUCAUCAAAGCCAUGUGAAAACAUGGUAACCAUUGAUCAAACAAUGUAAUAUUAUCACUAUAGUUUCUCAGUAGGUCACAAUCCCUCAAGACUCCGCAGUCAAAAUGGAACUCUACAUUGUUUCAUAGCCUCUUUUUUAGAUUGGAGUCCAAGAGCUACAUCAGAAGUAAGUGGAGAACCUAGGAAUUGGAGAGGAUAGAGUAAAGAUUGAUCCCAAAGAGCAAAGACCAUUCAUCUAAACUUAGAAACAGAAAAGUGGAAUGUAUGACAUUGAAGAGAGUGUCCAAACAUAGCAUCAAAAAGAUUUAUUUUCUUCAUCAGUACUGAAUGAUUCCUGACAACCAUCUAGCAGCAUUAUUUGUGGGUUGUUCUCUAACACCUCACCCCAAUAUAUAUAUAUAGUAAAGUAACACUGAUAAGUUAAGGUAAACAAGAUAUCUAAAUACCAUUACACAAAAAUCAGGGGUCUGUGAUGGCUGAACAAAUUGCCCUAUGUACUAGAGAGGGGAAAUCAGAAGAUGUCACACCAGGAAGUAGUUGAAUGAAAGAAGCUGAAUCUUGAGCCCCCCUUCCCUCUCUACUUCCUGUUCUUCCUUUCACCAAGCAACCUAAUGGAGGUUUUCUUCACAGAUGAAAAGUAAUGGACAAGGGUGGAAUGAAAGGGACCACAUAGUUCACUGUACAUCUCCUUUCUUAAAGAAGUCUCAUCCACUGCUGAGCUUUGAUGAAGGACAUUAGCUUGGUAUGGAAGCAAGAGGAUGUGAUUUCAUGAAGAAAACUAUCUCUCAUAACAAAACCUGCCAAGGAAAGAGAAGGGAGGGAGUAGGAGAAAGCAGUUCCCCCAAAGCUACCCACAUCAAAAAUGAACAACUAAAACAGUCCUGUAUAGAGGCAAUUAGGAAGCAUAAUGGAUCGAGUGCCAGGAGUCAUAGGAUCUGGUUUCAAAUCUGGCCUCAGCCACUUCUUAGCUGGAUGACUCUGGCUCCAUCUUUCUGCCUAUUAUCACACAUCUACAUUGGUACAAGGAAUACAGAGAAGAAAUCAGAAAGGCCAGAAAGAAGCAUAGACAAGGGUUCUUGUUCAUUUGAAUAUAAAAAGACAUUCAGUUCCCAAUAUAAACGAAUUUAAAGUGGAGUGUAAGGUAUAUCUGCCUGAUGUGGAGAAAGUCGGAUCUCCUUGGCAACUGAAUGAGGAAUCUGAGGACUCAAAGGCUAGAGAUGAGGACCCACAAUGCACUUCUGGAGUCCACGUUGAACAGUUUUGAGGUAGAAGGGAGCUUCGGGAUCAUUUAGGACACUCUUCAUUUUACAGCUGAGGCAACUGGCGUCCGAGACUAACGUCCCACAGGCAGUACGAAGCAGAGCUGGCACAUGAACCCCCUCCUCCGACGCCAAGUUUAUUGGCCGCUCUGCCCUGUCCUGGGCAGACGCAGGCAGACCAAUUACAGAUCCCAGCCCAACGCUACACCUGAGAGACUUGGAAACAAACAUCGAGUCUGGGGGUUCUUUGUGGCUUUUUGGUGCCCCCUAAGGACUCCUUCCCCAAAUAAUUCCUUUAAAUUCAGGAAAUAAACAUACAUAGGAUUACA
ensembl:lncRNA